rnacentral:misc_RNA from 1 species
AAAGGUUGAGAAUCUAGGAGAAGAUGGAACCUCAGAUGAAAAAGAUAAAUCUUUCAAAAAGAGAUGGUUCAAUAUUCCCCGAGGAUCUGACAAAAAGCUCGGUUGAAAGAAUCACGCGCUAAGGUUUAUUUUCUCUUUUCCCAAACAGCAACAAAUAGAAACUUCCAACCAUUUUUGUCUUGUAGAAUUCAAUGGUCAAAAUGAUUGCAUCCAUGCUUGUAAUACUUGGGUCUCUGUUUUGGUGUAUGCUUUCAGGGGCUCAACAAAAUUUGCCAUUCUUUCUCCCAUCAGAGUUGAGGUAAGCUAUUGAUUAGGCAUU